rnacentral:rRNA from 1 species
GAUCCUGGCUCAGGACGAACGCUGGCGGCGUGCCUAAUACAUGCAAGUCGAGCGAAGUUUUUCUGGUGCUUGCACUAGAAAAACUUANCGGCGAACGGGUGAGUAACACGUAAAGAACCUGCCUCAUAGACUGGGACAACUAUUGGAAACGAUAGCUAAUACCGGAUAACAGCAUUAACUGCAUGGUUGAUGUUUAAAAGUUGGUUUUGCUAACACUAUGAGAUGGCUUUGCGGUGCAUUAG